AUUGAACGCUGGCGGCAUGCUUUACACAUGCAAGUCGAACGGUAACAGGCCGCAAGGUGCUGACGAGUGGCGAACGGGUGAGUAAUGCAUCGGAACGUGCCCAGUCGUGGGGGAUAACGCAGCGAAAGCUGUGCUAAUACCGCAUACGAUCUAUGGAUGAAAGCGGGGACCGUAAUGCCUCGCCCGAUUGGAGCGGCCCAUGUCAGAUUAGGUAGUUGGUGGGGUAAAGGCUCACCAAGCCAACGAUCUGUAGCUGGUCUGAGAGGGACGACCAGCCACACUGGGACUGAGACACGGCCCAGACUCCUACGGGAGGCAGCAGUGGGGAAUUUUGGACAAUGGGCGCAAGCCUGAUCCAGCAAUGCCGCGUGCAGGAAGAAGGCCUUCGGGUUGUAAACUGCUUUUGUACGGAACGAAACGGUCUGGGUUAAUACCCUGGGCUAAUGACGGUACCGUAAGAAUAAGCACCGGCUAACUACGUGCCAGCAGCCGCCGUAAUAC
rnacentral:rRNA from 1 species